UGGAAGAACAUAUGGAGCCACACAGUCGUUCGCCACCGCCUUCCCCGGUGAGAGUUACGAGCGUCCGCCUUAUCUCUAACCGCCGCCGCUACUCCCGGUCGCAGGUGCAGAUUUCCGCCGUCGCCGCCGCUUCUCCUGGUCGCAGGCACGGGCGCCCGCCUUCAUCCCUAGAGAUCUCCAGCCGUCGCACGGCCUCUCGUGCGCGCAAGCGACCACCCUCUCCCGGCCUACCUGGCCGCAGCGCACGCGUGCUUCGUUGGACCGCCCUCCGGCCUACGCUGCGGCCGCCGCGAAAGAAAAUCGCCUCUCGCCUCGGGCAAAAAUUGACGAUUCCUCCACAACUCCGAUCUACUAAGAGCCGCUAUAGCCGACCCACCCUUCUAAUUAAUUGAUCCAAAGGAAUUUAGCAUUUACUAUAAGUGUGAUGGACCAAAUUCUUCAACUUCAGGUGAGCGUGCUCUGAAGAUGAACGAGUAAAAACAUAUGAACAAGGGACCGAGUAAAACAGAGAGGUUAUAUUCCGAGCCAUUGCUUUGAUCCAUAUGUGGUCAUUGCUCACUCCAACGGAGGCCAGGGAGCGUUUGGUUACUGGAUCUAUCCGAUGGGAGAUGGUUGCACGGGAUAUCUUCAGCCGAUUUGGAUGGCGGUCAUGUAAUAGGAUAGGCAAUUAGUUUUCCUAUCUUUCUCUUGCCGGUCGGCUGUGGCAUUUGUUUUGCUUAUUCAGCGCUCUGUGAGCUGCUUUUUUUUGAGUUUUUUAGACUUGUGUUGAACCUCUUUGCUUUUUUAAUAAAGGUGGCCGUAUGCAUCUUUCCGAUAUA